rnacentral:miRNA from 1 species
GAUGGUUAUAUAUAUAUAUAUGUGUGUGUGUGUGUGUGUGUAUACACACACACACACACACACACACACAGGGCUCAACAAAAUGC